AAGAGGGAGGUGUGAAGGCGCCCGGUCCUGAGCGCCUCCAGAAGGGUCCUCGUCUGGGCUCGGGACUCCGGUUCUGCUCCUUGCUAUCUCUUACACACUUCGCCCCUCACUUUCCUAAAAGCACCCAAGCUUCUCUCUUGGCAGCGACAGCGGUGACAGCAGCGGCGGCAAAAGUGGAGGCUGAGGCCGUGACACCUCGUGGGCUCGAGUCCAUGCCCGGCUGGAUGAACGGAAAGGCCGGGAGUGGGGAGUCAGGGGGUGCCUCAAGAGCUCAGAGGCGACCGACGGCGGCGGUUCCAGGUCAACUGCACCGGGAGCAGUCGCUUUAACAGGAGGAACUAUGAGAAGUUCAAGUUAGAAGGGCUGAACAGGAAGGGACCCUCUUGCCCGUGUCCCGCCCGCGCGCCCGCCGGGACCACCGCCGCCGCCGCCCGGCUCUGAGGGACCCGCCAGACCUGCCCCUUCCGCUGCGGCUCACUCUGCCUUGCCCGGCGCGGCUUCUGGAUCGCCGGCUUCAUUUCUACCAGACUGGGCUCCUCUCCACUCACUUUCCCAUCCUGUUCCAGGCUGGCGACUUCGCUGCUGAGCUGAAACUGCUAAUUUCUGUGACCAGCUUUUUUCUUAGCUGUGAUCUGGAUGAAUGAGUAGCUGUCUCACAGAGAUGACAAAAAUAAACUCUAAUCCCCCCCAAAAUUUCCACUACAUCUUUCUCAUGCAUAGAUUUAUGAUCUUCAAGCGCUCUGUGCAAUAUGCAAACUUUUUUGUGUCUGUGUAUAUGCUGUUGUUUGCAGCUUCCACAACAUCGGUAUGCUGGGUUUUCCCUCCCACCCCCCAACCCCCUCAUACUCUCAAAUGCAGAAGCUGUCUGAUCUCAAAGUAUGCCAGGAGCCACUUUAGCCUGUCUUGGUAUCUAGGGUGUGGGGCUGACUUGGAAGAUACCAGUCCCUGUCUAGGAGGGCUGAGGACAUGCCAGGGGUGGGGGAAACACAGUUGGUAAAACAGAGGACAGUUCCCUGUUUUUUUCCUCUCUGUACUAUUCAAGCUUUAUGGUUUUGUUGAAAAACAUAUUUUUUCUCUUAUUAUUUUUGUCUGGUUAAACAACCUCUUUUGAAGUUCUCUUGUCAGUCUUUGACACAUAAGAGUACAGAAAGCACGUUUUCAUUAAAACAUUAUCAUAUUGUCAGAUUUGUGUUUCAAUUAAGAGUCUUUGGUUUGCAGGAGCUAGGAUUAACUGUUAGGGAACCCAGCUGCAAUUUCACAAAUGUAACCUUUCAACUUGGGGAGUUCACUUGAUAAAUAAGGGCCCUCCCAUAGGACUCACACUGUUGACCCUGCUUAGCAUUCAGAAUGGACCUCAGCCUAAUUCUAGGACCUUAAAGAAAGACACGUGCAUGCGUUUCUAGGACCAGAAAGGCAUGUGCAUUUUGGUAGAGGACAUGUUCUUCAUACUUAUCUCAUGAUGUAUGGUACCCUCAUUGAGGCUGUCAAUGGGAGUUGGAGGCAUUCAAGAAUCUCCCUCACACACAUCCCACACUGUGGGGGGAGGGACAGAAACAGAAAAAUAUGUCCUUGAAUAAAAUGAUUAUAAAACAAUGCUAGACAUGAAUUAAAUUGAGUUUUGUUUGUCAAUAAAUAUAGAAUAUGAUUCACUCU
ensembl:antisense 4930426D05Rik RIKEN cDNA 4930426D05 gene